CACACAAGCGAACCUGACAAUCCUCUUUAACUUCUGGAAGUAACGUUAAUGUAACUUUAUAUUUCGAAGUAACGUUAGCAUUACUGCUGCAUUUUUUUAUGAAAUACGACCGAAGCGCUGUCUCAGAGACACGUGUGAUUUUGUGAGCUUUUCGAAAGAAAGGUCAGAAAAAUCACUUGAGAAAGAGAGAGCAAGAUGCAUCAUUCUCUUUACCUGCCUCAACAUCAAAUCUUUCUCUGGUUGACUCGAGAAGGAUGUUGAAGAUGUGAAGACCUGACUGAUAAGAAAGUGGCCAAAUUUCUGUCUGAACUCUCAUUCUGGCGGCACCCGUUCACUGCAG